UACGUAGGGGGCGAGCGUUGUCCGGAUUCAUUGGGCGUAAAGCGCUUUAAGGCGGUUCGCUAAGUCGGGUGUGAAACCUCCAGGCUCAACCUGGAGACGCCACUCGAUACUGGCGUGACUAGAGUUCGGUAGGGGACCACGGAAUUCCUGGUGUAGCGGUGAAAUGCGCAGAUAUCAGGAGGAACACCAGUGGCGAAGGCGGCUCACUGGUCCGAUACUGACGCUGAGGUGCGAAAGCGUGGGGAGCAAACAGG
rnacentral:rRNA from 1 species